GGCUGGUCUGAAGGUAGUGAGUUAUCUCAAUUGAUUGUUCACAGUCAGUUACAGAUUGAACUUGUUCUGCUACUUUCCCCCCUCCUCACUACUGCACUUGACUAGUCUUAA
rnacentral:Y_RNA from 1 species